rnacentral:rRNA from 1 species
UGGAAACUNUCUGACUUGAGUGCAGAAGGGGAGAGUGGANUUCCAUGUGUAGCGGUGAAAUGCGUAGAUAUAUGAAGGAACACCAGUGGCGAAAGCGGCUCUCUGNUCUGUCACUGACGCUGAGGCUCGAAAGCGUGGGUAGCGAACAGGAUUAGAUACCCUGGUAGUCCACGCCGUAAACGAUGAGUGCUAGGUGUUAGGCCCUUUCCGGGGCUUAGUGCCGGAGCUAACGCAAUAAGCACUCCGCCUGGGGAGUACGACCGCAAGGUUGAAACUCAAAGGAAUUGACGGGGGCCCGCACAAGCGGUGGAGCAUGUGGUUUAAUUCGAAGCAACGCGAAGAACCUUACCAGGUCUUGACAUCCCGAUGCUAUUCUUAGAGAUAGGAAGUUACUUCGGUACAUCGGAGACAGGUGGUGCAUGGUUGUCGUCAGCUCGUGUCGUGAGAUGUUGGGUUAAGUCCCGCAACGAGCGCAACCCUUAUUGUUAGUUGCCAUCAUUAAGUUGGGCACUCUAGCGAGACUGCCGGUAAUAAACCGGAGGAAGGUGGGGAUGACGUCAAAUCAUCAUGCCCCUUAUGACCUGGGCUACACACGUGCUACAAUGGUCGGUACAACGAGUUGCGAGCCGGUGACGGCAAGCUAAUCUCUGAAAGCCGAUCUCAGUUCGGAUUGGAGGCUGCAACUCGCCUCCAUGAAGUCGGAAUCGCUAGUAAUCGCGGAUCAGCACGCCGCGGUGAAUACGUUCCCGGGCCUUGUACACANCG